rnacentral:rRNA from 1 species
AUUCCCCUAGUAACUGCGAGUGAAGCGGGAAAAGCUCAAAUUUAAAAUCUGGUGGUCUUUGGCCAUCCGAGUUGUAAUUUAGAGAAGCGUCUUCCGCGCUGGACCGUGCACAAGUCUCCUGGAACGGAGCGUCGUAGAGGGUGAGAAUCCCGUCUUUGGCAUGGACACACCAGGGCUUUUGCGAUGCGCUCUCGAAGAGUCGAGUUGUUUGGGAAUGCAGCUCAAAAUGGGUGGUGAACUCCAUCUAAAGCUAAAUAUUGGCGAGAGACCGAUAGCGAACAAGUACCGUGAGGGAAAGAUGAAAAGCACUUUGGAAAGAGAGUGAAACAGUACGUGAAAUUGUUGAAAGGGAAACGCUUGAAGUCAGUCGCGUCGUCCGAGACUCAGCCUCGCCUCGGCUUGGUGUACUUCUCGGCCCGACGGGUCAGCAUCAAUUUCGCCUCUCGGAUAAUGGCGAGGGAAAAGUGACACCAUUACGGUGUGUUAUAGUCUCUCGUCGCAUGCGAGGGUCGGGAUUGAGGAACUCAGCACGCGCCCUCGGGCGUCGGGGUUUUCGCCCACGAUACGUGCUUAGGAUGUUGGCGUAAUGGCUUUAAACGACCCGUCUUGAAACACGGACCAAGGAGUCUAACAUGCCUGCGAGUGUUCGGGUGGAAAACCCGUGCGCGCAAUGAAAGUGAAAGUUGGGACCUCCGUCGUGGAGGGCACCGACGCCCGGACCAGACCUUCUGUGACGGCUCUGCGGUAGAGCAUGCAUGUUAGGACCCGAAAGAUGGUGAACUAUGCCUGAAUAGGGUGAAGCCAGAGGAAACUCUGGUGGAGGCUCGUAGCGAUUCUGACGUGCAAAUCGAUCGUCAAAUUUGGGUAUAGGGGCGAAAGAC